rnacentral:tRNA from 1 species
UGGCGGCCGGGCGGGCCGCCGGGGCCGGCCGGCCGUCACCCGGCCCGCGGCCCUCGCCGCGGCCGCCGACCUUCGACCCGUCGGUGGCCGG